rnacentral:rRNA from 1 species
UCAAUAAGCGGAGGAAAAGAAACCAACAGGGAUUGCCUUAGUAGCGGCGAGUGAAGCGGCAAAAGCUCAAAUUUGAAAUCUGGCGCCUUCGGUGUCCGAGUUGUAAUUUGAAGAUUGUAACCUUGGGGUUGGCUCUUGUCUAUGUUUCUUGGAACAGGACGUCACAGAGGGUGAGAAUCCCGUGCGAUGAGAUGCCCAAUUCUAUGUAAGGUGCUUUCGAAGAGUCGAGUUGUUUGGGAAUGCAGCUCUAAGUGGGUGGUAAAUUCCAUCUAAAGCUAAAUAUUGGCGAGAGACCGAUAGCGAACAAGUACAGUGAUGGAAAGAUGAAAAGAACUUUGAAAAGAGAGUGAAAAAGUACGUGAAAUUGUUGAAAGGGAAGGGUUUGAGAUCAGACUCGAUAUUUUGUGAGCCUUGCCUUCGUGGCGGGGUGACCCGCAGCUUAUCGGGCCAGCAUCGGUUUGGGCGGUAGGAUAAUGGCGUAGGAAUGUGACUUUACUUCGGUGAAGUGUUAUAGCCUGCGUUGAUGCUGCCUGCCUAGACCGAGGACUGCGAUUUUAUCAAGGAUGCUGGCAUAAUGAUCCCAAACCGCCCGUCUUGA